rnacentral:rRNA from 1 species
UGCAGUCGAGCGAAUGACGAGAAGCUUGCUUCUCUGAUUUAGCGGCGGACGGGUGAGUAACACGUGGGCAACCUGCCCUACAGAUUGGGAUAACUCAGGGAAACCUGGGCUAAUACCGAAUAAUCCUUCGAAUCACAUGUUUUGAAGUUGAAAGGCGCUUCGGCGUCACUGUAGGAUGGGCCCGCGGUGCAUUAGCUAGUUGGUGGGGUAACGGCCUACCAAGGCAACGAUGCAUAGCCGACCUGAGAGGGUGAUCGGCCACAUUGGGACUGAGACACGGCCCAAACUCCUACGGGAGGCAGCAGUAGGGAAUCUUCCACAAUGGACGAAAGUCUGAUGGAGCAACGCCGCGUGAGUGAUGAAGGUUUUCGGAUCGUAAAACUCUGUUGUAAGGGAAGAACAAGUACGUUAGGAAAUGAACGUACCUUGACGGUACCUUAUUAGAAAGCCACGGCUAACUACGUGCCAGCAGCCGCGGUAAUACGUAGGUGGCAAGCGUUGUCCGGAUUUAUUGGGCGUAAAGCGCGCGCAGGUGGUUUCUUAAGUCUGAUGUGAAAGCCCACGGCUCAACCGUGGAGGGUCAUUGGAAACUGGGGAACUUGAGUGCAGAAGAGGAUAGUGGAAUUCCAAGUGUAGCGGUGAAAUGCGUAGAGAUUUGGAGGAACACCAGUGGCGAAGGCGACUGUCUGGUCUGUAACUGACACUGAGGCGCGAAAGCGUGGGGAGCAAACAGGAUUA